CUCGUAGGUGGCCAACUAAGUCAGACGUGAAAUCCCCAGGCUCAACCUGGGAACUGCGUCUGAUACUGGAUGGCUUGAAUUCGGGAGAGGGAUGCAGAAUUCCAGGUGUAGCGGUGAAAUGCGUAGAUAUCUGGAGGAAUACCGGUGGCGAAGGCGGCAUCCUGGACCGAGAUUGACACUGAGGAGCGAAAGCCGAGGGGAGACGAAACG
rnacentral:rRNA from 1 species